rnacentral:rRNA from 1 species
GACGAACGCUGGCGGCGUGCUUAACACAUGCAAGUCGAACGGUAAGGCCCUUCGGGGUACACGAGUGGCGGACGGGUGAGUAACACGUGGGUGAUCUGCCCUGCACUUCGGGAUAAGCCUGGGAAACUGGGUCUAAUACCGGAUAGGACCCUGGGAUGCAUGUCCUGGGGUGGAAAGCUUUUGCGGUGUGGGAUGGGCCCGCGGCCUAUCAGCUUGUUGGUGGGGUGAUGGCCUACCAAGGCGACGACGGGUAGCCGGCCUGAGAGGGUGACCGGGCACACUGGGACUGAGAUACGGCCCGGACUCCUACGGGAGGCAGCAGUGGGGAAUAAUGCACAAUGGGCGCAAGCCUGAUGCAGCGACGCCGCGUGAGGGAUGACGGCCUUCGGGUUGUAAACCUCUUUCAGCACCGACGAAGCGCAAGUGACGGUAGGUGCAGAAGAAGGACCGGCCAACUACGUGCCAGCCGCCGCCGUAA